UUCAUUGUCCAGCGUUGAAC
rnacentral:miRNA from 1 species